rnacentral:rRNA from 1 species
UACGAAGGGGGCUAGCGUUGUUCGGAAUUACUGGGCGUAAAGCGUGCGCAGGCGGUUUUUCAAGUCAGAGGUGAAAGCCCCGGGCUCAACCCGGGAAUGGCCUUUGAGACUGGAAAGCUAGAGUGUGAGAGAGGUGAGUGGAAUUCCCAGUGUAGAGGUGAAAUUCGUAGAUAUUGGGAAGAACACCCGUGGCGAAGGCGGCUCACUGGCUCGCAACUGACGCUCAGGCACGACAGCGUGGGGAGCAAACAGG